GAAAUGCGAUAAGUAGUGUGAAUUGCAGAAUUCAGUGAAUCAUCGAAUCUUUGAACGCACAUUGCGCCCCUUGGUAUUCCAUGGGGCAUGCCUGUUCGAGCGUCAUUUGUACCCUCAAGCUUUGCUUGGUGUUGGGCGUCUUGUCGGAAUAUCCGACUCGCCUUAAAUACAUUGGCAGCCGGCACUUUGGCCUAGGAGCGCAGCACAUUUUGCGAUCGUAAGCCGUUGUGACAGCAUCCAUAAGAUUUAUUUUACCACGUUUGACCUCGGAUCAGGUAGGGAUACCCGCUGAACUUAAGA
rnacentral:misc_RNA from 1 species